UGCUCUGGGAACAUGCAAAUGAGCAGGGGAAGGGGCAGGCUGGGCACAGCUGCAGGGCUGGCUCAUCUCAGUAACUCAGCACCGGCUCAGUGUCCCCAGGUGUCCCAGAACUCAACGCUCCAGGCAUCAUCUUGAAAGCGGAGAAAGCAGACCAUGUGGUUGAUCUUCAGUUAUCCUGAGUCAGCAGGUGGGCCAUUUACAUCACCACGACAGUGUCCACAGGAGUUCCAGUUCCCUAAAUUCUCACCAAGACUGGUCAUCCUCUGUUGGAAAAAAACAUUCUAACAGGCAUCAGUUUCUGGCAAUACUUUCUCUAUGGUAGAGUCUGGAAAGGCUACUCCUCAUGUCCUUGGCUUCCUAAGUCCCAGAUGUGGUGAAGAAUGCCCAUCAGC
rnacentral:lncRNA from 1 species